rnacentral:misc_RNA from 1 species
UACGGAGGUGGCUAGCGUUACUCGGAAUCAUUGGGUGUAAAGGGCAAGUAGGCGGCUUGAUAAGCGAGGGGUGAAAUCUUCCGGCUCAAUCGGAAAACUGCCUUUCGAACUGUCAAGCUUGAGGUAGGAAGAGGGAAAUGGAAUUCUCGGUGUAAGGGUGAAAUCUGUAGAUAUCGAGAAGAACACCAGCGGCGAAGGCGAUUUCCUGGUCCUAUCCUGACGCUGAACUGCGAAAGCUAGGGGAGCAAACAGA